GAUGAACGCUGGCGGCGUGCCUAAUACAUGCAAGUCGAGCGAACGGACGAGAAGCUUGCUUCUCUGAUGUUAGCGGCGGACGGGUGAGUAACACGUGGAUAACCUACCUAUAAGACUGGGAUAACUUCGGGAAACCGGAGCUAAUACCGGAUAAUAUUUUGAACCGCAUGGUUCAAAAGUGAAAGAUGGUCUUGCUGUCACUUAUAGAUGGAUCCGCGCUGCAUUAGCUAGUUGGUAAGGUAACGGCUUACCAAGGCAACGAUGCAUAGCCGACCUGAGAGGGUGAUCGGCCACACUGGAACUGAGACACGGUCCAGACUCCUACGGGAGGCAGCAGUAGGGAAUCUUCCGCAAUGGGCGAAAGCCUGACGGAGCAACGCCGCGUGAGUGAUGAAGGUCUUCGGAUCGUAAAACUCUGUUAUUAGGGAAGAACAUAUGUGUAAGUAACUGUGCACAUCUUGACGGUACCUAAUCAGAAAGCCACAGCUAACUACGUG
rnacentral:rRNA from 1 species